rnacentral:rRNA from 1 species
GACGAACCGUGCAAACGUUGUUCGGAAUCACUGGGCUUAAAGGGCGCGUAGGCGGCUCGCCAAGUCGGGGGUGAAAUCUUUCGGCUCAACCGGAAAAGUGCCUUCGAUACUGGCGGGCUGGAGGGAGGUAGGGGCAUGUGGAACUUCCGGUGGAGCGGUGAAAUGCGUUGAUAUCGGAAGGAACGCCGGCGGCGAAAGCGGCUUGCUGGACCCCUCCUGACGCUGAGGCGCGAAAGCCAGGGGAGCGAACGGG